CUCUCAAUAGCUCAGUGGUAGAGCAUUCGACUGUAGAUCGAAUGGCCGCUGGUUCGACUCCAGCUUGGGAGA
rnacentral:tRNA from 3 species